rnacentral:rRNA from 1 species
UACGAAGGGGGGCGAGCGUUGUUCGGAUUUACUGGGCGUAAAGGGCGCGCAGGCGGCGGAUCAAGUCAGACGUGAAAGCCCCCGGGCUUAACCUGGGAACUGCGUUUGGGACUGAUUUGCUAGAGAUCGGGAGAGGAGAGUGGAAUUCCCAGUGUAGAGGUGAAAUUCGUAGAUAUUGGGAAGAACACCGGUGGCGAAGGCGGCUCACUGGCUCAUUACUGACGCUCAGGCGCGACAGCGUGGGGAUCAAACAGG